rnacentral:rRNA from 1 species
CUUACCUACGGGGGGCAGCAGUGGGGAAUAUUGCACAAUGGGGGAAACCCUGAUGCAGCGACGCCGCGUGAGUGAAGAAGUAUUUCGGUAUGUAAAGCUCUAUCAGCAGGGAAGAAAAUGACGGUACCUGACUAAGAAGCCCCGGCUAACUACGUGCCAGCAGCCGCGGUAAUACGUAGGGGGCAAGCGUUAUCCGGAUUUACUGGGUGUAAAGGGAGCGUAGACGGCGCGGCAAGUCUGAUGUGAAAGGCUAGGGCUCAACCCUAGGAGAGCAUCUGAAACUGUAAUGCUAGAGUGCAGGAGAG